GAGAUAAGGUUUUACCUUCUAAUCAAUCUCUUAAUAAGCCAAAUCUUGUGGCUCUCAUCUCUCUCUCUUUUCCCAGAUAGAUAUAACCAGUCAAAACGUAAAAACUCUUAACAAAACAGAGAGUGAGCGAGCUAGUGAGAGAGUGCUCACAAAUAAACCCUAACAAUGACCAUCAUUCUCCAAGCUUCUCUCCUCUGUAAACCUUCACUCUCUCUUGUCAUUCAUCCUCUUCCUUCUUCUUCUCCUUUUAAACGACACCCUUUUCACCGCUCUUUUUCCCCUCCUCCACGCCACCACCACCACUUCCACUGCUCUUCCACUUUUAAUUAUUUGCGUUGUCGUUCCCUCCGUCUUUCAAUUCCUUGCACAUUGCACCCUGACAACGUAGAUUCCCAGGAUUCUAAAUUUGUAAAUAAUUCUAAUUCCGAUUUUCGUGGAGAUAAUGAUAAUAGUAAUGCAUUGAAAUUGUCUUCCGAGGUUCCGACUUCGAGCUCUGAAGAGACUGCGAUCAGUAAGAAUUCGAAAAGUGAGAUGAAGGUGGAGGAGACGAAUGGCGAGGAUAGUUUAGGUAAAAGUGAGGGGUUGGAUGAGAGUUCAGAAGAAAAUGACGGGGCAAAGAGUAAAGUUCCUUUGCUGGUGUUCUUGAUGGGCUUGUGGACGAAAACGAAAGUAGGAAUUGAGAAAAUGAUGACCUGGGAUUGGCUAAGUUGGUGGCCUUUUUGGCGGCAAGAGAAACGGCUUGAACAGCUAAUAGCUGAAGCUAAUGCUAAUCCGAAAGAUGUUGCCUUGCAGAGCGCUCUCUUAGCUGAACUCAAUAAGCACAGUCCUGAGUCAGUGAUCAAAAGGUUUGAGCAAAGGGAGCAUGAUGUGGACAGUAGAGGCGUAGCAGAAUAUCUUCGAGCACUUGUUGCUACUAAUGCUAUUGCCGAGUAUCUUCCAGAUGAACAAUCUGGCAAGCCUUCUGCUCUUCCUUCAUUGUUGCAAGAAUUGAAGCAACGUGCAUCAGGGAACACAGAUGAGCCCUUUUUGAAUCCUGGCAUAUCUGAGAAACAGCCGUUGCAUGUGAUGAUGGUUGACCCUAAAGUGUCAAACAAAUCUCGAUUUGCACAAGAGCUUAUCUCAACUAUCUUAUUCACCGUAGCUGUUGGAUUAGUAUGGAUAAUGGGUGCUGCUGCACUUCAAAAAUACAUAGGAAGCCUGGGUGGGAUAGGAGCUUCAGGUGUUGGCUCAAGUUCUUCUUAUACUCCAAAGGAGUUGAAUAAAGAAGUUAUGCCAGAGAAGAAUGUUAAAACAUUCAAGGAUGUCAAAGGUUGUGAUGAUGCAAAACAAGAGCUUGUGGAAGUAGUAGAGUAUCUGAAAAACCCAUCGAAAUUUACUCGCCUUGGUGGGAAGUUGCCUAAGGGAAUUCUUUUGACUGGAGCACCUGGAACAGGAAAAACUCUGCUUGCCAAGGCUAUUGCUGGAGAAGCUGGGGUACCAUUUUUCUAUAGAGCAGGAUCUGAAUUUGAGGAAAUGUUUGUUGGUGUUGGUGCCCGACGUGUAAGGUCCUUAUUUCAAGCAGCUAAAAAGAAGGCACCUUGUAUCAUCUUUAUCGAUGAAAUAGAUGCUGUCGGAUCCACAAGAAAACAAUGGGAAGGCCACACCAAGAAAACAUUGCAUCAACUACUUGUUGAAAUGGAUGGUUUUGAACAGAAUGAGGGAAUAAUCUUGAUGGCUGCAACAAAUUUGCCUGACAUUCUUGAUCCUGCUUUGACAAGGCCUGGUAGAUUUGACAGGCAUAUUGUUGUUCCAAAUCCUGAUGUGCGAGGCCGACAAGAAAUUUUGGAGCUCUAUCUUCAGGAUAAGCCUUUGGCAGAGGAUGUAGAUGUUAAAUCAAUUGCCAGAGGUACACCAGGAUUCAAUGGAGCAGAUCUUGCGAAUUUGGUAAACAUUGCCGCCAUUAAAGCUGCUGUUGAAGGUUUGGAUAAAUUAACGGCCACUGAGUUGGAGUACGCUAAAGACAGGAUACUUAUGGGUACUGAGCGUAAAACUAUGUUCAUAUCUGAAGAGUCAAAGAAGCUCACUGCAUAUCAUGAGAGUGGUCACGCAAUUGUUGCUUUCAACACUGAGGGUGCACAUCCAAUUCACAAGGCAACAAUCAUGCCACGUGGGUCUGCAUUGGGAAUGGUUACCCAGCUCCCUUCAAAUGAUGAGACAUCAAUUAGCAAGAAGCAGCUAUUAGCUCGUCUUGAUGUUUGUAUGGGGGGAAGGGUUGCUGAGGAACUCAUCUUUGGUCAGGACCAUGUCACCACUGGAGCAAGUAGUGAUCUUCACACAGCUACAGAGCUUGCCCAAUACAUGGUAUCAAACUGCGGGAUGAGUGACGCAAUUGGACCUGUUAACAUCAAAGAACGGCCAAGUUCAGAAAUGCAAUCACGUAUUGAUGCGGAAGUGGUGAAACUCCUAAGAGAAGCAUAUGAUCGUGUAAAGGCCCUAUUAAAGAAGCAUGAGAAGGCGUUACAUGCACUAGCAAAUGCACUAUUAGAGUAUGAGACACUGAGUUCAGAGGAAAUAAAGCGCAUUCUUCUUCCUUACCGAGAAGGACGGCUCCCCGAGCCACAGGUAGAACAACAAGAAGAAGGAGAGCUUGUAUUGGCAUAAACGUGGAUCUUUACUUGGGUAUGUAAAUGUUCGGGGGAGCUCUGUACAGUGUAUUAAAAGCACCACCGGCUGCACGUCUUUGAAGCAACUAACUCCCCUGCUCUAACAACCAACCAAAAAUGGUAGAAAGUUCUGUAUCAUUUGUGAAAUCAUAUGUAUUAUUUUAACUUUACCCCAUUAUGGGUCAAAUUUUGAAUUAUAGCAUUAAUUUAAGAUUAUAGAAACCCUUUUAUUUUCUUC